GUGAUCCUUCCCUUGACAGUAUAUAAAAUUCACAAGAUUGAUCCGAUUUGCAAUUAAAAUUGGUUUUGGUGGUUUUGGGAAGUGUUACAUUUCACACAUAACCCAUCAUUGAUUGUGUUAUGAAUGUUGUUUUUUAUAACAUUUCAUUACAUGUUCUGGAAAAACUCUUUAAGAAGCAGGAUUGCCAGUAAUUCUUUUCUGUGACAAGGCAGGCGUGUUUGCACAAGGGGGGUACACGAAGAUAUUUUGAAGAACCGUUUGUGAGAAGAACAAGCCAAAAUGUCCACUGACAUACAUGCUGAGCUAAUGGAAAAAAUACCGUCCACAUGGAGGUAAGCUGUGAAAUCCUAUCUGGUGAAUGAAAACAGCUGCUGAAACACAGACAGUCAUGUAAUGUCCUCCACAGAGUCCAGACCUGAAUAUUAUAGAUGCUGUUUGAGAUCACCUGGACAGAAAAAGAAAGAUACGACAACCUAAACCUAAAGAAGCACUCGGGGAAGUGCUAAAAGAAGCCUGAUAAUACACAUUAUUUCAGAAAAUGAAAGGACGAUAAGAACAAAACAGUUUAGUUGUGCGUGGUACCAAGGAAAGAGACAUUAAACAUAGACUUUUUCUUAAAGAGG
ensembl:processed_transcript